rnacentral:rRNA from 1 species
AGUGGCGGACGGGUGAGUAACACGUAAGAAUCUGCCUUUAGGAGGGGGACAACAACUGGAAACGGUUGCUAAUACCCCAUAUGCUUUCGAGUGAAACGGAUUUAUCCGCCUAGAGAGGAGCUUGCGGCUGAUUAGCUUGUUGGUGAGGUAAUGGCUCACCAAGGCGACGAUCAGUAUCUGGUUUGAGAGGACGAUCAGACACACUGGAACUGAGACACGGUCCAGACUCCUACGGGAGGCAGCAGUGGGGAAUUUUCCGCAAUGGGCGAAAGCCUGACGGAGCAAUACCGCGUGAGGGAUGACGGCCUAUGGGUUGUAAACCUCUUUUUUCAGGGAGGAAUAAAAUGACGGUACCUGAAGAAUAAGCAUCGGCUAACUCCGUGCCAGCAGCCGCGGUAAGACGGAGGAUGCAAGUGUUAUCCGGAAUCACUGGGCGUAAAGCGUCUGUAGGUGGUCCAAUAAGUCAACUGUUAAAUCUUGAGGCUCAACCUCAAAAUCGCAGUCGAAACUAUUAGACUAGAGUAUAGUAGGGGUAAAGGGAAUUUCCAGUGGAGCGGUGAAAUGCGUAGAGAUUGGAAAGAACACCGAUGGCGAAAGCACUUUACUGGGCUAUUACUAACACUCAGAGACGACAGCUAGGGUAGCAAAUGGGAUUAGAUACCCCAGUAGUCCUAGUGA